UGUUAAAAAUUUCGUUCAUCUCUACUAUUAAAAAUUCUCAUAGCUGACAAAAUAACCAAAUAAUGACAUGUUUUUCUCAUGUUGACGUACAAUGACUAGUUUUUAAAAGUAGAAAUGGAUGAAACUUUUUAACA
rfam:Gossypium raimondii Chr04_contig_1412, whole genome shotgun sequence.